UACGAAGGGGGCUAGCGUUGCUCGGAAUCACUGGGCGUAAAGGGCGCGUAGGCGGGAUGGCAAGUCGGUCGGUGAAAAUCCUUCGGCUCAACCGAAGAACGUCGGCCGAUACUGCCGUUCUUGAGGGAUGCAGGAGGAGAUUGAACUUCCCGGUGUAGCGGUGAAAUGUGUAGAGAUCGGGAGGAACACCGGUGGCGGAAGGCGGGUCUCUGGGACGG
rnacentral:rRNA from 1 species